rnacentral:rRNA from 1 species
UACGUAGGGUCCAAGCGUUGUCCGGAUUUAUUGGGCGUAAAGAGCUCGUAGGCGGUUCCGUAAGUCAGAUGUGAAAACUCAGGCUCACCGACGACGCCAUCUGAUACUGCGGUGACUGGAGUCUGGUAGGGGAACACGAAUUCCUGGUGUAGCGGUGAAAUGCGCAGAUAUCUGGAGGAACACCGGUGGCGAAGGCGGCAUUCUGGACCAUUACGUGACGCUGACGGAGCGAAAGCCAGGGGAGCAAAGCGGGAUUAAGAAACCCCGAGUACAGUCC